AUAAAGAAGAGCUGUUCUGUUUAAAAUACAUCCUCCAGCUUUACUUUAUCUGAUCCAUUUCAUAGUUUUGUUUUCACAGCCGGAUUCCUGCACACAAUGACGCAGUCACUGCACAUUACGCCGAGACUCGCUGAAAGUCCGCAUUUGCAGUGCCUGCCUGUACUAUGACGUCCUAAGACCCACUAUGAGCCGGUAUGAAGGAGCUUCCAGUACAACCAAACGGAACUUGCAGCGGCAUUGAGGAGUUCAGGAGUCGGCAGAGAAGAAAGAGGCUGAUUGAAACGGGACAGAUGACAUCGAUCCAUCCUUCCACAGCCAGGAGCUCAACAACCUGUGUGCCACACUUCAAAUAAGACUAGAAGCUACACUGGAUCUCACAGCUUCACACCACAGACGUCUACACACCACAGACGUCUACACACUGGGGCAGAUUCGGACAGAGUCCCACAAAGAACCUAUGACCCAGAGGCUGCAAAGAGACAUUUCAAGCUUCACCUGAUUAGCUUUUCACUGGCUAGGCCAGUUGUGUUUGUACAAUAUUUGUGCUGUAUGUAAAUAAAACUUUGACUCAACAUA